rnacentral:rRNA from 1 species
UACGUAGGGUGCGAGCGUUGUCCGGAAUCACUGGGCGUAAAGGGCGCGUAGGCGGCGUUUUAAGUCGGGGGUGAAAGCCUGUGGCUCAACCACAGAAUGGCCUUCGAUACUGGGACGCUUGAGUAUGGUAGAGGUUGGUGGAACUGCGAGUGUAGAGGUGAAAUUCGUAGAUAUUCGCAAGAAUACCGGUGGCGAAGGCGGCAUCCUGGACCGAGAUUGACGCUGAGGAGCGAAAGCUAGGGGAGCAAACGGG